UACGUAGGGUGCAAGCGUUAAUCGGAAUUACUGGGCGUAAAGCGUGCGCAGGCGGUGAUGUAAGACAGAUGUGAAAUCCCCGGGCUCAACCUGGGAACUGCAUUUGUGACUGCAUCGCUGGAGUGCGGCAGAGGGGGAUGGAAUUCCGCGUGUAGCAGUGAAAUGCGUAGAUAUGCGGAGGAACACCGAUGGCGAAGGCAAUCCCCUGGGCCUGCACUGACGCUCAUGCACGGAAGCGUGGGGAGCAAACAGG
rnacentral:rRNA from 1 species